rnacentral:misc_RNA from 1 species
UGUGUGCGCGCGCCUCUCGCAACGCCAUUUUGCUCUAGAAAGAAGUGCCAGAAGUGCGCCGUCGCUUGCUGCGUUGGCAAUUUUGUGUUGCGUGGUUCCAUUUCUCGCGAAUAGCUUGAAGAAGUCCUUCGCUUGUGUGAGACGCGACUCGGAUCGCGCAGCCGUGACACCAUGAGCUACGGCCGUGCACCGCCGACUAUCGACGGGAUGACCUCCCUGAAGGUCGACAACCUGACAUAUCGCACCACGCCGGAGGACCUCAAGCGCGUCUUCGAGAGGUACGGAGACGUAGGGGACGUCUACAUCCCGCGUCACCCGUACACCAGGGAGAGCCGAGGGUUCGCCUUCGUUCGCUUCUACGACAAGCGCGACUGCGAGGACGCCAUGGACGCGCUGGACGGCUACAUGAUGGACGGCCGCGAACUGCGCGUGCAAAUGGCGCGCUACGGUAGGCCUACCGAUCCGUACCGCCAGUCGACGUCGUCUUCUCGCUACGGCCCUUCAAGUCGCCGGUCCCGCUCCCGGUCGCGCAGCCGCCGCAGGUCGAGGAGCCGCAGGCGGUCACGGUCUAGGUCACGUCGCCGAUCUCGGAGCCGUUCUCGGUCGCGGCGACGCCGCUCAAGGUCCCGAUCCAGAAGGUCCCGAAGCCGAUCCAGGGAUCGCCGGCGUUCCCGAAGCAGGGCAAGGAAAAGCCGCAGCAGGAGCCGGCGAAAGAGCCGUAGUCGUAGCAGGCGCAAGAGCCGCAGCAAGUCGAGGGAGCGGAGCCGCUCCCGACGUCGUGAGGCCAAGAGGAGCCGAUCAAAAUCCAGGGGCCACAGCCGCUCCAAGUCAAGGGAACGCAGUCCCUCGAAGCAUCGCAGUCGCUCGAAGUCCAAGGACCGCAGCCGAAGCCGACACCGUAGCCGCUCGAAGUCUGAGGAGCGAAGCCGGAGCAAGCAUCGCAGUCGCUCCAAGUCCAAGGAACGCAGCCGAAGCAAGCGGCGCAGCGAAUCCAAGGAACGCAGCCCCAGCAAGCACAGGAGCCGUUCUGGGUCCAAGGAGAGGAGCCGGAGCAAGUCUCACAGAAGCCGCAGCCGAAGCCGCAAGGAGAGUGAGCCACGGGAUCGGAGCCACAGUCCAACGGUGAAUGGAGACUCCCGCAUGCGCAGUGCAUCUCGCAGCCCACGAGAUGAGGGCCGGGAGGACUCGCGGUCGCGUUCACGGUCGCGGAGUCCGAGGCAGAGUGGCAGCCCAGCACCGGGAGAAUCUGACGAGGCAGCCAGGGAGAAGUCCAGAAGCAGGGACCGGUCACGGUCCAAGUCACAGGACUCCAACUGAGGCACGUGAGAGUCCUCGCUGUCUGUUAAGGGUAUUCACCCCAGGCUGGGUUGUAUCAAUGGAACUUUUUGUCUGUCAUUUGAUGUGUGUGUUCUGUGCAUCUUUUGUUAAAAGAUGUACCUGCUUCGAUCCAGCCGCUUUAUCUGGAUGAGAAUGUCUACCACCAAGUCGUGGCACUUUCCAGUUAGUACCCAAGUGUGGCUCUUUUCGCACCUAGUGCAAAGUGGCUUUUCAUAUUUUCAGUGUUAAUGCAUUGGCUGUGAAAAUGUCCGCUCCUGCUCAGGGUUGAGAUGAAAAGUACAGGUAGAAGAAAUGCCUGUCGAAUUUUGUUUCAUCUUUGCCUUGUCAUUUUCCGCUGUAAAUGAAACCAUUUCUUUAAUUACCAUCGCUUUCACAGUAAUACCGACUGCCUUUGUGUGUCUCGCAUUAACAUUGUGAUCGUUACAAAGCAUCAUGAAUGUACAUCUCUCUUCUGAGCAGUGCAAGUGUCUGCAUUGUAAUUGUACCUUUUCCUUUUUCUCUGUAGUUGGGAAUACAGAGCUUUCCUUAUCAAUGGGCUCAACUAUGCCCCAGUAUUUUGCACAUCACAAUAUAUUUGAAUGUUAAGUGUUAACUCUUUGUCAAAGCCUCAUUGCCUCUACCUCUCAUGAGUGCUGUGUUGCUGGUAAUGUUUUAACACUGAAAUGUAAUGGCACACGUGUUGCAUAUGCCUUCAUUUUACUGUCCGAAACUUGACUCAAGGGUUUACAAGGCAUGAAGAGUUAUACUGUGCUGCUCGCGUAGUAUUUUUUCAUCUUAAGCUUUAAAAGUUAACAUUCAGAGGGUUGCGUUGUUGAGAGCCCUAUAUAAAUGGUUCCUCAGGCUAAGGCGCUGCAUCAUUUACAUUGACUUGACAUGCGAGUGGGAUGUGGCUGUUUUCUUCUACAGUGCCUCAAUGCAGUACUUGUCAGUUCAAUAUCUACUAAAUCUGUAGUGUGCAUCAACAGAGGCGCCGUAGAGGGAAACUUCUGUGCUGUGAUCACGUCCAUCCAACACAGGUAGUGAACUAUCGCCUUCACUGGGAAAACUACAUUUUUCUGCAUCUCAUUGUUCUGAACUGAAUCCACAAGUAAGCAGGAUACAAGACGUUAAUGUGCAAGGUGCGACAAACGAAGCACAGCCUUUCCCACAAUGACAUUUCUAAUGGUGCACUCGCGAACAGCUAACAUUAAUGCUAGCAGUGCAUGCAUCUCAAUCAAGAGGUCUGCGCUGCCCAUUUGCACUGAUACCAGUGGGAACUAGCCUUGCUGGCUGUAGCUGAGGGUGGUGAGGUUGUCUGGAGAUGGGCGUUGAGAAAAACUGGUUGCAACAUCCAACAUCUGUGAAAAUGGCAAAGGCCCAGCAUUUUGAGCGCUAGCAGCAAAACUGAGAAGCCAUUUAUGCUGGGCUCCCUGUCAAUGCAACAUUGUUUGAAAUUAUGGGAUCGAACUUCAUUUGAUCAGCACUGCACAAAAGUAUUUGAUCGAUCGAAAAGUAUGCAUUGUUCAGCUGUUGUAUACGAGUGGCCGUCACGGGCUCUUCUGCCCUGGUCGAAAUUGCGGGGUGGGUUUUUUCGGGGAGGGUUGUUUUUCCCUCGCCGGGAUUUCGAAAGAGCACUUCUCGGCUGACUCGUGUUGUGGUUGUACCCCCUGUCAUGCCUGCAGGCGCUGAGCUGUGAGGGUGUUGGUAAGGCGGUGCUUGAUCGUAUGCUGCGUUGCUGCUGCUGCCGUGACUGGUUGCAGCCUGUGCCGAGUUCGGGCGGAGAUGUGCUGUCGGGCUGCACGUCGUGUUUGCGAUCAUUCUUUCUUUUUUUCUUCUUUCCUCCUCCUUUCUUUUUGUUUUCUCCCACCAUCUUCAUUCACCUAUGGACACCGAACCCUGUCCCGUUUUCUCAGGUCCUCAUUUACACUGCUCCUCCCGACGACUCAUUCUGACAGCGUCUCACAUGACUACGGCAGGACUACGUAGGCAUAGGGGAGCCCUGAAUGAGUUGUAAAGGUAGCAUAAUUUUAGUUAGCUGGUGUACAAAAUUUGAUUACUGCCUUUCAUUAAUUAUCCUUAGCAUACAUAGCUAUCCUAGGGCUGCAGUGGGACUUCAGGUACAAGUUGCAUUUCAGAAGGAAGUAGUGCUGUAUACAUUUAAGACAAAUGUGACGGGCAGUUAAUUUGGAGUAAGACUAGUCGAUUUUAUGUUUAAGUUUUAAAAUUGGUGGUUAAGAAGCAGUUCUAGGGAAUUUUGGAUGAAAAUGGUAGCAUCUUGACUAACCACACGUACGAUGUACAACGAACGGCAGAUUAUUGAAGGGGCAGGUUAACCUUUAAAGCAGUGUUCCGUUUGAGUUUGUAAUCGUUAGAUCCCCUUUUUUCUGUUUGGAAGCUGCUAGCGAUAAGUGAGGUUACAUGCACCCUUUCUGACUUUCGCCAUUCAAGCCCCAGCGAACAGGGAAGGGCAAGGUUAUGGUGCAUCUCUUUUUUUGAAUGGUGGCUGGGCGGUGUUCCAGUCUGCGGCCGGCAGAAGGCGGCAUUUGCAGACCGUCGGUGCAGACGGAGCGGCCCGCGGUUGCUGUCCAGCCGGCGCGGGGCUUGCCGUGGUGCUGUGUGGGAGUGCCUGCUGUGUCGGAGUUGCAGCUGCGGUUGCCUGCUGUGCAGUUGUUCGUGCGGGGUGUCUCAGGAUGCAGGCCCAGUUUUGGUUUGUUCCAUUCUCCACACGCUUCUCAGUAAAGUAUGCAAUUUCUCUUCAGAGCACUUCAAGGGCAGUGCUUCAAAAGGCUGUCUUGACAUCGUCGGCAGUGUGCUUCACUUGCAUUGCACGAGGCAUGUGCAGUAGUUGUAGCUUGCGCCUGUGGUUCUUGGUGUUCAAUAAAGCCUUUCAGAA